rnacentral:rRNA from 1 species
UACGUAGGGUGCAAGCGUUGUCCGGAAUUAUUGGGCGUAAAGAGCUCGUAGGCGGUUUGUCACGUCGGAUGUGAAAUCCCGGGGCUUAACCUCGGGUCUGCAUUCGAUACGGGCUGACUAGAGUUCGGUAGGGGAGACUGGAAUUCCUGGUGUAGCGGUGAAAUGCGCAGAUAUCAGGAGGAACACCGGUGGCGAAGGCGGGUCUCUGGACAGUUCCUGACACUGAGACACGAAGGCCAGGGGAGCAAACGGG